AAAUUUGAAAUCUGGCGCAAGCCCGAGUUGUAAUUUGUAGAGGAUGCUUCUGGGCAGCGGCCGUUCUAAGUUCCUUGGAACAGGACGUCAUAGAGGGUGAGAAUCCCGUAUGUGACCGGCGCGCACCCUCCACGUAGCUCCUUCGACGAGUCGAGUUGUUUGGGAAUGCAGCUCUAAAUGGGAGGUAAAUUUCUUCUAAAGCUAAAUACCGGCCAGAGACCGAUAGCGCACAAGUAGAGUGAUCGAAAGAUGAAAAGCACUUUGGAAAGAGAGUUAAAAAGCACGUGAAAUUGUUGAAAGGGAAGCGCUUGCAACCAGACUUCGCGGCGGUGUUCCGCCGGUCUUUUGACCGGUCUACUCGCCGCCGCGAGGCCAACAUCGUCUGGGGCCGCCGGAUAAGACCAUGGGAAUGUGGCUCCCUCGGGAGUGUUAUAGCCCACGGUGAUGCGGCGUGUCCCGGGCGAGGUCCGCGCUUCGGCAAGGAUGUUGGCGUAAUGGUUGCCAGCGGCCCGUCUUGAAACACGGACCAAGGAGUCUAACAUCUAUGCGAGUGUUCGGGUGUCAAACCCCUACGCGUAAUGAAAGUGAACGGAGGUGGGAGCUUCGGCGCACCAUCGACCGAUCCUGAUGUCCUCGGAUGGAUUUGAGUAAGAGCAUAGCUGUUGGGACCCGAAAGAUGGUGAACUAUGCCUGAAUAGGGUGAAGCCAGAGGAAACUCUGG
rnacentral:rRNA from 1 species